CUCGCACGAAGCCGUCCUCCUCCACCGAACUGACCCUCCCCGGCGAGCAGUCCCCUAGACGGCACCGGCGACGACCAGUCCCCCAGACGGCAUCGGCUGAGCGAAGAAAUUUGUUCCCCAGAUUUUGAAAAAUGGCUUCUUCUUCUAACAUUAGCGACAUUAGAUUACAACCGAGGCUAUGCAAUUGUGGAAGAACCGCUGCCUUACAUAUUGUAAAAACCAAUGAAAAUGGAAAUGAAGGGCGUAUGUUCUUUGUUAGCCCAUCAAGAUAUAGUAAAACUCCCACUCCCCAUUUCAAUUACUUCAAGUUCGUGGAUGAAGAUAAUGAUGCCGUUACGUCCAGAAUUCGUUCGAACUGUAUAGCGUGUGAUGGUAUAAUAGUACAAGACUUUGACGAUGUACGGACGAGGCUUCAUUACAUGGAAACGAACUAUGCUCGAAGGCUUGAAAGGAUGGAAAGGAAUAUCAAAGCGAUGGUGUACUUCAUUGUAUUUGCUACCAUUUUCUACUUGAUUAUGUAACUUGGUAGUUUGUAGCAUCUUCGGUUAUAUGUACAUGAACUUGUUAUGUAAUAUCUAUUAUCUAUUUCCCUGAACUUGUGGCCUCAACUUUGGAAUGAAUGAUGGAAUGACUUUUGGAAUGCAUUUUGGAAUGAA